GUGUAGUCCAUAUCUUGAAUGUUCAUAUUUAUUAACAGAACCAGAAGGAUGUUGAGUCAACCAGUGUAGUCAUGCAAGAGAGUGGUGGAGCUUGGGAGGUGAGGUUGUGAAAUUCAAGUACAGGACAGUCAGAAUUUACAUGUAGAUCACAUAUCAGCCACACACAUUGAAAUACAGAGGUCUGUAGUAGCUCUUCACUAAGAGCACACAUCAUAGAAAAUAUGUUUACUAAGUAAUAUUAAAUGAAAUGGCUGAAGGCUGUAGUUUGCAUGGGCGUUGUAGCAGAUCAAUGAGUUGUUGUGUCCAUCAGUGCGCAUACAGCAUGUGGACACCUGACCAUAACACCUAUAUGUUGGCCAUCCUGUUCCAAAACAUUUGCAAAACAUUUGUCCCCACUGGCGUUGCUAUCCGGGGUGUGGUUGCACCAGGGCCCCCUGUGGGUGGGAGGCCCGUGCUUGACCUCUAUAAAAAUGUUUUUGUAAUUUUAUGUUUUAUCACGUGUUCCUAUGUGGUUAUCACAGUCAGACCUCAGGAUUGGCAUUCUUCUACAGUAUUGCUAUGAUGAAUUCACUGACAGAAUUCCCCUCCCUUAUUAUCCAAUCACUGUGGGCAUAGUAAGUAAGCUUGUUUGUGGAACAAGGUCAUCUAUUGCAAUAGGGUCAACCGCGCCCUUUCUCUUAGCUUAAGACCUCUCCCCAUUCCUUUGUAAAAGUUGGUCUUAGCAGCUUUGUGAAUAGGUUUUAAGAGGAAACUCUUAGCUAGGAACAUUUACUGCUGUUUAGGAGUCCUCCUAGUGGUAAGACAAAAUGUUUUGUUAAUACAGCCCUAGGACUACAUCAAAAUUGUGAGAUGGCUAGGUGUCGCCAGGAGAGGAGAAAAACCACUGAUUUAGGUGACGAAGAGAAACCCAUAGCGACUGUAAUUAAGUACUAGCAAUCUCUGCUGUGGCAGGUUGAAGAAGCAAGUUACCUAAGUGUCUCAUAUUGUAUUUAUAGCAGCUUUUUGUCUUACAAAAUAACAUUAUAGAAUAACAUUCUCAUGAUGUCUGAACAGA
ensembl:lncRNA